rnacentral:snRNA from 1 species
AUCCUUGCGGAAGGGGCAAUAGCGCUACCAGUGACGCUUAGCGGAGGUGCGCUGUUUGCUAGUUGAAAACUACUCCAAUUCCCGUCAAGUUUGAUC